rnacentral:rRNA from 1 species
UACGUAGGGGGCAAGCGUUGUCCGGAUUUAUUGGGCGUAAAGAGCGUGUAGGCGGCUUGGAAGGUCAGCUGUGAAAACUCGAGGCUCAACCUCGAGACGUCGGUUGAAACCACCUGGCUAGAGUCCGGAAGAGGAGAGUGGAAUUCCCGGUGUAGCGGUGAAAUGCGCAGAUAUCGGGAAGAACACCCGUGGCGAAGGCGGCUCUCUGGGACGGUACUGACGUUGAGACGCGAAAGCGUGGGGAGCGAACAGG